CCUACGGGUGGCAGCAGUGGGGAAUAUUGCACAAUGGGGGAAACCCUGAUGCAGCGACGCCGCGUGAGUGAAGAAGUAUUUCGGUAUGUAAAGCUCUAUCAGCAGGGAAGAAAUAGCGACUUUUGGGUCGCCAGACGGUAUCUGACUAAGAAGCGCCGGCUAACUACGUGCCAGCAGCCGCGGUAAUACGUAGGGGGCAAGCGUUAUCCGGAUUUAUUGGGUGUAAAGGGUGCGUAGACGGCAGCACAAGUCUGAAGUGAAAUGCCGGGGCUUAACCCCGGAACUGCUUUGGAAACUGUGCAGCUAGAGUGCAGGAGAGGUAAGUGGAAUUCCUAGUGUAGCGGUGAAAUGCGUAGAUAUUAGGAGGAACACCAGUGGCGAAGGCAGCUUACUGGACUGUAACUGACGUUGAGGCUCGAAAGCGUGGGGAGCAAACAGGAUUAGAUACCCCUGUAGUC
rnacentral:rRNA from 1 species